CUCCCGGUGGCCAAGCUGGUUAAGGCGCGAGACUGUAAUGUUUCACUUUGGAGCCCAAAGUAAUCUUGAGAUCGGGUGUUCGACUCACCCCCGGGAGA
rfam:Ascoidea rubescens DSM 1968 unplaced genomic scaffold ASCRTscaffold_13, whole genome shotgun sequence.